rnacentral:snRNA from 1 species
GUGCUCACCUUAGCAGCACAUAUACUAAAUACUGGAAUGAUAUAGAGAAGAUUAGCAUGGCCCAGCAGAAGAAUGACAUGUAAAUUCAUGAAAUGUUCCAUAUUUUU